AUACGGAGGGUGCGAGCGUUAAUCGGAAUUACUGGGUGUAAAGGGCGCGUAGGCGGUUUUUUAAGUCAGAUGUGAAAGCCCUGGGCUUAACCUGGGAACUGCAUUUGAAACUGGGAGGCUAGAGUUUGGUAGAGGGGAGUGGAAUUUCCGGUGUAGCGGUGAAAUGCGUAGAGAUCGGAAGGAACACCAGUGGCGAAGGCGACUCUCUGGACCAAAACUGACGCUGAGGUGCGAAAGCGUGGGUAGCAAACAGGAUUAGAUACCCCAGUAGUCC
rnacentral:rRNA from 1 species